UACGGGGGGAGCAAGCGUUGUUCGGAUUUACUGGGCGUAAAGGGCGCGUAGGCGGCCACCGCAAGUCGACUGUGAAAUCUCCGGGCUUAACUCGGAAAGGUCAGCCGAUACUGCGGGGCUAGAGUGCAGAAGGGGCAACUGGAAUUCUCGGUGUAGCGGUGAAAUGCGUAGAUAUCAGGAGGAACACCUGCGGUGUAGACGGCUUACUGGACCAUAACUGACGCUGAGGCACGAAAGCGUGGGUAGCAAACAGG
rnacentral:rRNA from 1 species